rnacentral:sRNA from 1 species
ACGAACCAGGUUGAUUUGGCUGGUCUGUCCUACCAGCUGGGUGUCCACUUGUUCCUCCGCCUUCCAGAACUGCAUGCUCAGUUAAGAGAAUAGCUUUCCUCCUUAGAGGAAACUCUUUCUUUAAAGACAUAGAAGUAGCUACUCUCCUUCUCAGAACCUCUGAACCAGCUCUCAUAGGAAUAGAGAGUCAGAAACAAAAAGCAAGCAAACAGACACUUAAUGGAACAGAAGACAUAUGAUGAGUCAUUUGU